UACGAAGGGGACUAGCGUUGUUCGGAAUCACUGGGCUUAAAGGGCGCGUAGGCGGGCUGCCGCGUCCGGGGUGAAAUCCCACGGCUCAACCGUGGAACUGCCUCGGAUACGGGCGGUCUUGAGGGGGGUAGGGGCACGCGGAACUGUGGGUGGAGCGGUGAAAUGCGUUGAUAUCCACAGGAACUCCGGUGGCGAAGGCGGCGUGCUGGACCCCAUCUGACGCUGAGGCGCGAAAGCCAGGGGAGCAAACGGG
rnacentral:rRNA from 1 species